rnacentral:rRNA from 1 species
AGAGUUUGAUCAUGGCUCAGAACGAACGUUGGCGGCGUGGAUUAGGCAUGCAAGUCGAACGAAUCCCCGCAAGGGGGGAAGUGGCGAAAGGGGCAGUAAGGCAUGGAUAACCUACCCUGGGGUUGGGCAUAGCCGUUCUAACGGACGGGUAAUACCCAGCGAUGUGCGUGCGGCACCUGCCGCGUGUACGAAAGGUUACGCCUCGGGAGGGGUCCAUGUAGUAUUAGCUUGUUGGUGGGGUAACGGCCCACCAAGGCGAAGAUGCUUAGCGGGUGUGAGAGCACGACCCGCGCCACUGGCACUGAGACACUGGCCAGACACCUACGGGUGGCUGCAGUCGAGGAUCUUCGGCAAUGGGCGAAAGCCUGACCGAGCGACGCCGCGUGCGCGACGAAGGCCUUCGGGUUGUAAAGCGCUUUGGUGGGGGAGGAAGGCGCAAGCUUGACCUAUCCCAAGAACAAGCACGGGCUAAGUUCGUGCCAGCAGCCGCGGUAAUUC